rnacentral:rRNA from 1 species
CCUACGGGAGGCAGCAGUGGGGAAUAUUGGGCAAUGGAGGCAACUCUUACCCAGCAAUGCCGCGUGAAUGAAGAAGGUCUUCGGAUUGUAAAGUUCUUUAAUUGGGGACGAAAAAAAUGACGGUACACAAGGAAUAAGCCCCGGCUAACUACGUGCCAGCAGCCGCGGUAAUACGUAGGGGGCAAGCGUCGUUCGGGAUGACUGGGCGGAAAGGGGGUGGCGGCGGUGUAGCAAGUUAGAAGUGAAAUCCCUAGGGCUUAACUCAGGUGCUGCUUCUAAAACUGCUAGACUUGAGUGCAGUAGAGGAAAGUGGAAUUCCUAGUGUAGCGGUGGAAUGCGUAGAUAUUAGGAGGAACAUCAGUGGCGAAGGCGACUUUCUGGACUGUAACUGACGCUGAGGCACGAAAGUGUGGGGAGCAAACAGGAUUAGAUAUCCGUGUAGUC